AGAGACAGCAGUAGCCACGGGAAUACAGAGGGUGCGAGCGUUAAUCGGAUUUACUGGGCGUAAAGCGUGCGUAGGCGGCUAAUUGAGUCGGAUGUGAAAUCCCCGAGCUUAACUUGGGAAUUGCAUUCGAUACUGGUUAGCUAGAGUGUGGGAGAGGAUGGUAGAAUUCCAGGUGUAGCGGUGAAAUGCGUAGAGAUCUGGAGGAAUACCGAUGGCGAAGGCAGCCAUCUGGCCUAACACUGACGCUGAGGUACGAAAGCAUGGGGAGCAAACAGGAUUAGAUACCCCAGUAGUCCCUGUCUCUUAUAC
rnacentral:rRNA from 1 species